GACGAACGCUGGCGGCGUGCCUAAUACAUGCAAGUAGAACGCACAGUUUAUACCGUAGCUUGCUACACCAUAGACUGUGAGUUGCGAACGGGUGAGUAACGCGUAGGUAACCUGCCUGGUAGCGGGGGAUAACUAUUGGAAACGAUAGCUAAUACCGCAUAAUAUUAAUUAUUGCAUGAUAAUUAAUUGAAAGGUGCAAUUGCACCACUACCAGAUGGACCUGCGUUGUAUUAGCUAGUAGGUGAGGUAUCGGCUCACCUAGGCGACGAUACAUAGCCGACCUGAGAGGGUGAUCGGCCACACUGGGACUGAGACACGGCCCAGACUCCUACGGGAGGCAGCAGUAGGGAAUCUUCGGCAAUGGACGAAAGUCUGACCGAGCAACGCCGCGUGAGUGAAGAAGGUUUUCGGAUCGUAAAGCUCUGUUGUAAGAGAAGAACGGGUGUGAGAGUGGAAAGUUCACACUGUGACGGUAUCUUACCAGAAAGGGACGGCUAACUACGUG
rnacentral:rRNA from 1 species